UACGGAGGGUGCGAGCGUUAAUCGGAAUGACUGGGCGUAAAGCGUGCGUAGGUGGUAGCGUUAGUCGGCCGUGAAAGCCCUGGGCUUAACCUGGGAAUGGCGGUUGAAACGGCGCAACUGGAGUGGGUUAGAGGACUGUGGAACUCCUGGUGUAGCGGUGAAAUGCGUAGAGAUCAGGAAGAACACCGAUGGCGAAGGCAGCGGUCUGGGGCCACACUGACACUGAGGCACGAAAGCGUGGGGAGCAAACAGGAUUAGAUACCCUGGUAGUCCACGCGGUAAACGAUGAGCGCUAGACGUUGGGCAGGUGACUGCUCGGUGUCGCAGCUAACGCGCUAAGCGCUCCGCCUGGGGAGUACGGCCGCAAGGUUGAA
rnacentral:rRNA from 1 species